GAAGUAUCUCGUAAUUAUUUUUAAAAUGGCCUCCAGGAUGCAAUGUUUGAUAUUAUAAAGUUGUGACUUUAUAAACUGACUUUUAUAGUUGUCUGGCUGCCUCCUUUAUAUUUGCAUAAUUUUGAGGUUUAAUUUUAUAAAACGCCUUUCAAGUUGACGAAUCCCAGCGAACGUAAGUUUCUACUUUUUAUAAUAUAAAUUCUAUCGAAAUAGGUGAUGCCCUUUGACAAAUAUAGGCACCAUGACCAUGUGUCAACUUCUAGCUCAAGAAGCCAAAUGUUUUGUUGAUAUUUCAGCACUGGCCUGUUACGCGCCGCUUACGGCAAAACCAUGGCUAGUAGUUUAACUUGUAGGCUUAUAUCAUCUUUAUAUGACUAUAAAAUCAUAUAAACAAGGCCAUUAAUUUAUUUAAACCUGCUGUUUUCUCAUAGUUUGUGAUACCUACAUUCUACACGUCUGUUUUCUGUUUAUUUCAAAACUUAGUAAAGUAAACUAUCGAUCCGGACAGACAAUUAAAAAAGAAGUGUAUGAAACCAGUCAUGGUAUUUACUAUUUUUGAAAGGUUUAUUAACAUAAUGUUAAGCUUAAAAAUUAUAUAUAUAUAUAUAUAUAUAUAUAUAUAUAUAUAUAUAUAUAUAUAUAUAUAUAUAUAUAUAUAUAUAUAUAUAUAUAUAUGUAUAUAUAUAUAUAAUAUUUGCUGUGUUGGUGUAAUGUACUCAGCUAGGUGAAUAAAAUGCUUGUGUGAUGUUACUCUGAGUGUAUAUCCACACCGGGCAGACUUGAAAAAUAUUCCUGGCCACAGUAAGAUUCGAACCUACGACUUUUGGAAUACUAGCCCAAUGCUCUGCCAACUGAGCUACAUGGUCAGGUCGGUUAGAGUAUGCAAUAUUUCGGAACUGAGUCCAGUUCCUUUGAUAUUAGUGUAAUCUAAUAAUCAUGACAUUUGCUGUAUUGGUGUAUUGUACUCAGGUGAAUAAGGUGCUUGUGUGAUGUUACUCUAAGUGUAUAUCCACACCGGGCAGACUUGAAAAAUAUGCCUGGCCACAGUCAAGAUUCGAAUCUACGACCUUUGAAAUACUAGCCGAAUGCUGUGCCAACUGAGCUACGCGGUCAGGCCAGUUCGAGUAUGACAUAUUUCGGAACUGAGCCUAAUUCCUUCGAUACCAUUGUAAUCUAAUAAUCAUGAUAUUCAGUCCUCAUGCACAAUUUAGAUAAAUCUUGGUGGCAAAAAAUUGCCGCCGAUAUUUCGAAGUUUGGCGGCAGUUCUUCAGGGGCAAUUUUUUGUCACUAUAAAUUAAUUUUAACACUUUGACAGAAAACAGAAUUAUUUUAUAUUUAGUAUUCUCUUCACUUUACUAAUUAAAAGUGUUUGAUAUUCAAGGAAACCUUGUUUCAUACACAAUAACAUUGAAACCAGCUAUCACUCUUUUAGUUUUACCUUCGUUACCGCACUAUACGGACGUUCUAAAAUUGUAUGUAUGUUUGAACUUGAAGUCCUAGAACUUUCAAUGUAUUUUAAAAUAACCCACAAAAAUUAAAGUGUUCACAAAAGAAUAGCUCACUUUCUCGAAUUAUUUUCUAAUCAUAUGUUGAUACUUGGAAAAAAUAAUCGAAUUGAGAAUGCAGUGAAGCAUCAUCAGUGGACGACACAAAAAUUUGUUGGCGGGACCUAAAGUUGUAUUUUUUCUUGCUGUUCCUGGUUAUUGGAACAAAUGUAUAUAGAUUUUCACUAAUAAAUUCAUUAAAAGCCUAUUAUUUUUUACUAACAUUUUCCAGACAUUAAAGGCCCUGCAUGUGAGUAUGCAUGGGCUACCAGUCAUUACAAAUUCAUGCCUGUAAGUGAGAUUCACACCCUACCUCGUACAUUUUAAAGACAUGGCUAUAAUAUGUAUAAGGAUGAGAAUAUGUGUAAAGAUUGUAGUGCGCUGGUUUUCCUUUUCAAAAUUCCCAUUGUUCUAAAAACAUGUAUAUUUUGCCAUUUAACUGAGUUUACAUGUGUGUUAUUUUUUGCAAUAGCUCUCCUUUACACCUGGACAUGGAAAUAAGAGAAGUACCAGCUUCUUUCAAAUCUCUAAAUAUGACUGGUCAUCAAGUGAUGGCCUAUUCAGAGAUAUUGUAGCACCUGCUGAUGAACAUGAAUGGGCAAAAAAGUGCAACGAAAUAUUGGACAAAAUUACUCAUGGUGAAACAGUUUCCAAUGAAGGUCAAGAAGGUUGUGGACCUGAUCAGACAGUAACUCAGCCUGAUCAGACAGUAACUGAUGCAAAUACCUUAGUUGAUAGUACAGACCUCACGCUCGGUCAAUAGACCAAUUAGUGGCCGCGCCUUCAUACUGCACAAGAACGAGGCUUAUUAUGAAAAAACAAAACAAUGUCUAUAUUUUUAUAGAGCGUAAAGUGAAUUUUAGGGUUUUUAAAGUGUGUUUUCUAGAAUCCAUUUGAUUUUUAAAGUUAAAAUCGAAAAUUUGCUAUUAUAUUACAACUCAAACAAAAUUAAUCAAUGCUACAACUUAUUCUUUGAAAUAUAUUAAUAAAACAGACGGAAAAUAGCUGAUUCUUUCUCUUGUAUAAUCUGCUUCUUUUAUCGGACGGCGAAAAACAGAAAAACUUUGUCUCGCAUGCCGCGAAAAACAAUGAAAUUUGAAGUAAGACUAAAUCUAUGACCAAGUUUAAUAUAGAUUUACAUAGUCAAAACAAAAAUAUUGAAAAAAAAUGAAGAGAUUACCGUAAAAACGCGUCUCAAACACCAAAAUUUAUUUUUCGGCAUAUAAAAAUAUAGCAGAAUGAUUUGUUUUUGCCUAAUAAGCCUCGUAUUCGUGCAGUUUAAGGCGCGGUCACUAAGUUUUGCAAUUGGUCUAUAAGCCUUUAUUAUUCAUUACUAUUCAAUAAUGACGCUAAUUUUGUAAUUGUACAUUUUUUCUGUGUUCUUCAAACACUUCAUCUAUAAGAAAUAUAGAAACUACUAUGUCGUUAAUAUUUAUUUGAGACUUUGUAACACUUGUAUUAUCACUUAUUUUAUUAUUAUGUUUCACUUAUAUUUGUAUUACACAAAGUAAUCUGAAUUCCAGACGCUUGUAUAUCUUGCAUCCAGAUUUACGGAUGUCUGAAUUUCAGACGCGCCUAUAUUUUGUAUCCACAUAUAGGUCUGUCUGAAUUUCAGACACCAGUAUAUUUUGUGCUCAGAUAUACGGCUGUCUGAAUUUCAGACGUGCCUAUAUUUUGCAUCCACAUAUAGGUCUGUCUGAAAUUCAGACACCAGUAUAUUUCGUAUCCAGAUAUAGGGGUGUCUGAAAUUUAGACACUCCUAUGUCAGGAAACAAGAUAUACCGGUGUCUGAAUUUCAGACGCGCCUAUAUUUUGCAUCCACAUAUAGGUCUGUCUGAAAUUCAGACACCAGUAUAUUUCGUAUCCAGAUAUAGGGGUGUCUGAAAUUUAGACACUCCUAUGUCAGGAAACAAGAUAUACCGGUGUCUGAAUUUCAGACGCGCCUAUAUUUUGCAUCCACAUAUAGGUCUGUCUGAAUUUCAGACACCAGUAUAUUUUGUGCUCAGAUAUACGGAUGUCUGAAUUUCAGACGUGCCUAUAUUUUGCAUCCACAUAUAGGUCUGUCUGAAAUUCAGACACCAGGAUAUUUCGUAUCCAGAUAUCCCCUAUAUCAGGAUGCAAGAUAUACCGGUGUCUGAAUUUCAGACGCGCCUAUAUUUUGCAUCCACAUAUAGGUCUGUCUGAAAUUCAGCCACCAGUAUAUUUUGUGCUCAGCUUAUCGUAUUGUGGAAUCUUGAUUUGAUAGAAAAAGGAAGUUCUUGCAGACAAUCAAAUGGUGUCUGCCAAAAACAGCUUAUUUCUUUAAAAAAACCCAUCACGCUGCGGAUUUUUGUUAAUUUCAUGAAAAUGUGCGGAAAAUCACAAGUUUGGAAUUGUUCAAAAUUCUUUGGAACGCGUUA